rnacentral:rRNA from 2 species
UAAGCAUAUCAAUAAGCGGAGGAAAAGAAACCAACAGGGAUUGCCUCAGUAACGGCGAGUGAAGCGGCAACAGCUCAAAUUUGAAAUCUGGCCCCCCUCGGGGGCCCGAGUUGUAAUUUGGAGAGGAUGUUUCUGGCGCGGCGCCUACCGGAGUUCCUUGGAACAGGACGCCACAGAGGGUGAGAGCCCCGUACGGUGGGACGCCUAGCCGCAACGAAACUCCUUCGACGAGUCGAGUAGUUUGGGAAUGCUGCUCAAAAUGGGAGGUAAAUUUCUUCUAAAGCUAAAUACCGGCCAGAGACCGAUAGCGCACAAGUAGAGUGAUCGAAAGAUGAAAAGCACCUUGAAAAGAGGGUUAAACAGUACGUGAAAUUGUUGAAAGGGAAGCGCCUGCGACCAGACUCGCGCCCCGCGGACCAGCCGGCGUUCUCGCCGGUGCACUCCGCGGGGUGCGGGCCAGCAUCGGUUUUCCCUGGGGGAGAAAGGCCGCGGGAACGUAGCUCCCUCGGGAGUGUUAUAGCCCGUGGCGUCAUGCCCCA